AACAACACCAUCGACCGGAAGGAAUCCCUUCUGGUCGAUGGGGCUGUUACACCUCAUCAACCGGAAGGGAUUCCUUCUGGUUCAUCAACCGGAAGGGAUUCCUUCUGGUUGAUGAGGUUGUUACACCUCAUCGACCAGAAGGGAUUCCUUCCGGUUGAUGAGGUUGUU
rnacentral:miRNA from 1 species